rnacentral:rRNA from 1 species
AAAGCUCGUAGUCGGAUUUCGGGGCCUGCCGAGCGGUCUGCCGAUGGGUAUGUUUUGUUCGGCGCGUCCUUCUUUCCGGAGACUAUUUCUACUCUUAACUGAGCGGAAUUGGGAGACGGAUCGUUUACUUUGAAAAAAUCAGAGUGUUUCAAGCAGGCAGCUCGCUCUUGCAUGGAUUAGCAUGGGAUAAUGAAAUAGGACUCUGGUGCUAUUUUGUUGGUUUCGAACACCGGAGUAAUGAUUAACAGGGACAGUCAGGGGUACUCGUAUUCCGUCGAGAGAGGUGAAAUUCUCAGACCAAUGGAAGACGAACCACUGCGAAAGCAUUUGCCAGGUGAUGUCUUCACUGAUCAAGAACGAAAGCUAGGGGAUCGAAGACGAUCACAUACCGCCGUAGACUUAACCAUAAACCAUGCCGACU